GGAUGAACGCUGGCGGCGUGCCUAAUACAUGCAAGUCGAGCGAACGGACGAGAAGCUUGCUUCUCUGAUGUUAGCGGCGGACGGGUGAGUAACACGUGGAUAACCUACCUAUAAGACUGGGACAACUUCGGGAAACCGGUGCUAAUACCGGAUAACAUUUUGAACCGCAUGGUUCAAAAGUGAAAGACGGUCUUGCUGUCACUCAUAGAUGGAUCCGCGUUGCAUUAGCUAGUUGGUAAGGUAACGGCUUACCAAGGCAACGAUGCAUAGCCGACCUGAGGGAGUGAUCGGCCACAUGGGAACUGAGACACGGUCCAGACUCCUACGGGAGGCAGCAGUAGGGAAUCUUCCGCAAUGGGCGAAAGCCUGGCGGAGCGACGCCGCGUGAGUGAUAAAGGUCUUCGGAUCGUAAAACUCUGUUAUUAGGGAAGAACAGAUGUGUAAGUAGCUGUGCAGAUCUUGACGGUACCUAAUCAGAAAGCCACGGCUAACUACGUG
rnacentral:rRNA from 1 species